rnacentral:rRNA from 1 species
AAUGAACGCUGGCGGCAGGCCUAACACAUGCAAGUCGAACGGAUCCUUCGGGAUUAGUGGCGGACGGGUGAGUAACGCGUGGGAACAUACCCAAAGGUACGGAAUAGCCUCGGGAAACUGGGAGUAAUACCGUAUGUGCUCGAAAGAGGAAAGAUUUAUCGCCUUUGGAUUGGCCCGCGUUGGAUUAGGUAGUUGGUGGGGUAAUGGCCUACCAAGCCGACGAUCCAUAGCUGGUUUGAGAGGAUGAUCAGCCACACUGGGACUGAGACACGGCCCAGACUCCUACGGGAGGCAGCAGUGGGGAAUCUUAGACAAUGGGGGAAACCCUGAUCUAGCCAUGCCGCGUGAUCGAUGAAGGCCUUAGGGUUGUAAAGAUCUUUCAGGUGGGAAGAUAAUGACUGUACCACCAGAAGAAGCCCCGGCUAACUCCGUGCCAGCCGCCGCCGUAA